CACCGCGGUUAUACGAAAGACCCUAGUUGAUACAUACGGCGUAAAGGGUGGCUAAGGAAAUAUAAAAUAAAGUUAAAGACCCUCUAAGUCGUUAUACACACCCCGAAGGCACGAAACCCAUACACGAAAGUGACUUUAAACCAUAAACACCUGACCCCACGAAAGCUAAGAAA
rnacentral:rRNA from 1 species